AAUCUCGCUUCAGCCCCUCCGCCGCUCUCGAUCGUCGCCUCUAGGCUCCAUCCAUUUAUUUUCUUAUCAUCGUCCUUUCUAUCCCAUCUUCUCCGGUCUUCGAAAAAUUCCAAAGUUUCAGUUAUACCCCAGCGGCCUACUUCGGUCGCCCUCUACAUCGUCUCUCUAAUCCCCACCAGUCACUGCCGCAACGAUGCAAUCCAACCGCAACGAUGUAAAAAGUCUCUAACUUUGAAUUAGGUAUAUUUUUCUUCUUUGAUUAUUUAUGAAUUGGGUUAUUUGUGUAUUUAUAGUUGGUAAAACCCUAACACUUAAUUGGGUAUUCAGAUUUCAGAUUUCUUUUAAUAACCCCGCAUAUUCCAUUCAAGUACUUCCAUAAUGCCUUACCCGAGUGCUGGAUUUUUUAUGUGCCACUUAUGAUAAUAAUUUCCUAUUUUGCAGAGAAUAACAGAUUGAAGACAAUAAGAGUUAAAAUUUUGAGUUUCAAUUUUGAUUUCACUUUCUGGAUUUGAAAUGGAUUACUUUGGAGAAUCAAUAUUAUAUUUUAGUUUUAGUUUUGAAUUUCUAAUUUGGAUAAUAUUACUGCUUUUCUGUUUCAGAUACAAUUUUAGAUUGCUUUGGAGAAUGAAUAUUCUGUCUCAGAUGACUAUCAAAUUGAAUUUCGGACUUCAGAGUCAUGGUACCGACCAUUCUCAUCUCCCCGAAAUGAUUGAGUAGGCAUAUCAUAUGAUUCUUAUGUUCGUUGUUUAUGUUUUGCUUGAUUGGGUAUUUACAUACGAGUUUCAUAUGCUAUUUUUCUCUUUUUUUUUUAUUUACGAUCAUGUGAUAGACCAAGUGAAUGAAAGUUUUUCAUUUUAGUAUUUUUUUUUAUAGUUUUGUCAAAAUUACUUCACUAGUCAGAUUUCUUACAUGUUAUUUAGUCCCAUUUCUUUAGUUUAAAAUUGUACCUUUGGAGUAUUA
rnacentral:lncRNA from 1 species